AUUCUGAUUUUUAUAAUGUACAUAAUUUAUCCUGUUUUAGAAUUUCGUUCAGUUUUUGAAUUUACAAAUUAUUGAAUAUAUUAUUCCUCAGUUGUGCUUAAUAACGCUAGUAACAGUGACGUAGUGCUCUGCCAAUGAUGUUAUGCAGCAAAGCUAGCGUUGUGUGGCUGGACCACAUAGUCGCAGCGAAGGAUACCAAGCUGCACUAAGCCGCUGACGGUCCUGAAGAGGUGUUAUCAAACCCGCCGGCGGAUGUCCAAACCAACCUGUGAUUCACUUAUUUGUCCGGUUUACUCCACAGUUUAUAGAGAACAAUUGCGCAAAGAGUGAAGACAAAAAAGACUACCUAUCGUGCACAAUUGGAAUCCGUCUUUGUAGCAAUUUUGCUCGAUAAGUAGACUUUUUUGGCUUCACUCUCUGCACACUCUUUGCGCCCCUUUAUACCCACUAAGACGUCCAAAAAGCUGUUGCAAACCCGUUCAACACGGGUCCAACGAUGGACGUUUGUUGAACGGUUAUUUGGACGUUGUACAAAUUGGUCCAACGAACGUCCUUUAUUGGACGAUUUUGAAACCAACCGUUCUUAUAGGGUACUAACGCCUUCGGUUUAUUCAAAUAUACUCAGUCAAACCGAUUCCGAAACCGGUUCGGUAUCUUGAAUGAAUUCAAUAAGGAUUUCGACUUAGCUCAAAUGCAAUAACCUAUUCUGACUCAGUAGGUUUCGGAAUCGGUUGUUGCCUUUCAACUGGAUUCCAUAUUGAAUUCAUUCAGGAUUCCGAAUCAAAUUGCGAAUGGUUUGACCAGGUACCGGGUAAGCCGACUGAGCGGUAUCGAUUUGAUCUGCAGUAACUUGGUAUCCACAAAAACGCACUGUGAUUGUGCCUAAGCAUAUCAUUUAUACAAAAUAUCAAAGUACUACAUCCGUAGCAACGUUACAUUGCAUUUAUGUGCGUUAUCCAUCUUCACUGCCGCUUAGUCGGGUUUAAACUAGCCAUAACCCAUGUUUGAGUAAACCAGACGAACGAAUGGAUCACAGAUUUGAUUGCACUUCCGACGGAUGAUUUACAAACACGUUCUCCAGCGGAAACUUGGCCGCAGCUGUGUGGCCAAGCUGCAUCACACUAACUUUGCUGCAUAACAUCACUUGGCAGAGCAUUGUAUAACUGUUACUAAUGUUAAUAAGUACAACUGAAAAAUCAAACAAUUAAACAACUAGAAAAUUCAAAAACUGCAGUCCAAAAUUCCGAAACAAAUUAUGCAGAAAUUAUCCACACAAAUCCAGAAAUACAAAACUUUAAGAAUUUUUUUUUCAGAUUAACUAAUAUUAAAUGUACUUUGUAAAACAUUUUCAAUUUUUCCUGAAUAAUAUUUCUAAGUCGAUGAAAGGAGUAUGAGCUGUCAUUAAACGUCAAAUUUUGACGUUUACAGACAGCUUUUACAUGUUUCAUCGAUUUAGAACAACUUUGAAUUAUUUGUUACUCUAUGGGAGGCGGGAUGCCCCACCCGAAGGUACCAUCCGCCGGCAGGCAUGCUGGCGACCGGAUGGCGUGCGAACGGCAGGCAAAAGGCAUGCGAAUGGCGGGGCUAAUAUUCAUUGCAAAGAACGCAGCCAUCCGCCUGGUUGUUGCAUCUGAGCCUGCAUUUCGUUCGCCCGUCACUUGUCGGCAUGUAUUGAGGCGAUCGGUGUUGGCAGGUGGGGCAUCUCGCCUCCGGUUAGCUAUCCAUCUGCCGUGGUAAUGUGGGUAAGAUAGAAAUACCAACGACACGACUAGACACUUGAAUUCAAAACUGUAUCGCAAAUAUGACUACCCCUCAGUGACUCAGGUAACUGGAAAAGUCAAAUUUGACAUUUGUUUUAAAAAUGUAUGAAACUAGCAACAUUGACGAAAAUGUUUUUUAAAAUGGCCGUUGUUAUUGGUACAACCCCUAGUUACGCAGUGGAAAAAAUGUGACAAUAAAACAAACCGAUAGCAAUAUGCACAACAGUGUAUCGUGAUAGCAACUUGGAUUCUCUGUGCUAGUAGACAGUUCUUAAUUCUAGGAACCAACCCGUUUGUAUCCCUGCGCCCUUAAAUUGCAAUCAUUAUGCUCCUGUAUCAUAUAAAGGAAGUGCUUUUUAAAUUACAUCGGGAUGAUGUAGCAAGAAUAGUAGCUCUAGUGGUUAUGCUCUUUCCGUUGUUACUGGAUUUAAUAUUAGCUCCAUACUAGGUCUCAUUAUUCUAUUGUUUUUCAUCAAUGGUCGUUCUACGGUAGUAUUUACACUUAAUCACAAGGAAAUUGGAGGGGCGGUACCUAAAAAAGGUGAAGGAUUUUUCGGCUGUAAACAUUAUGACCUCCGCACAGCUUUGCAGUGUGAUGUUUGUGGACAAGAAAAAUGCCCAUGCCACAACCGCAAUGUGUAGGUUCACGAACCAUAGAAAGAGCUUCUAAUUGAUCGCUCGCUGGAUGACACGGUGAAUAAAUUUUUCAUCUACUUUUGGACGGUUUCAUAAGCAAUUGGUACUCGCAGAUAGCUCCUGAGUGGAGUACAUUCUCAAUAUCACAAGCAACGUGAGGGAUGCUCUGUACCUUUUGUAGCUAGAGCCUCAUAAACAGGGAAUUGUGCGAGCCUGGUGUACGAUUUUUUCAGAUUUCCCAUGAUGAUAAGAGGAUGUGCGGAUGUUGGUGAAAAAUUAGAGGCUGUGAUUGGAAAGCUCGCGGAUUUCCAGUAAGUCGAAAAAAACCCAAGGAAGUUCUGGACUAUUUCAACGACACUUUCAUCCCGUCAGAUCUAGACAGUGGAAUCAACUUAGCUUUAAUAUCAGCUUCAUAUUUUAGGCUGAACUUAAUAUGUACGAACUAUGAAAUUUCAUUCGAUCUAGUACCAGUAAGGGGCCGCACACUAAUUACGUAAGGCUUUUUUAGAGCUUUUCAACCUCCCCCUCCCCCCAGAUAAGAGUUCGUAAGAUUUUGGUGAGCUCCCCCUCCCCCUACAUAAGAUCUUAUCAUGAUUAUCGUAAUUAAAAAAUCGAAUUGUUAAUUCAUCAAAUUUAUUAUAGCGAAAACGAUAUGUAUAGAAUUAUUACAAGAAAACUCAUGACAAAAUUUAACUGUAA